rfam:Planctomycetes bacterium RIFCSPHIGHO2_12_39_6 rifcsphigho2_12_sub10_scaffold_9112, whole genome shotgun sequence.
UUACGUCCAUGCGAUGGAGUUCGCCUAACCGCUAUAACAUAGCUGAUAACUCCUAUUGAAGC